CAGAGGUCCCAAGCGUUGUUCGGAUUCACUGGGCGUAAAGGGUGCGUAGGUGGUAGGGUAAGUCGGAUGUGAAAUCUCCGAGCUCAACUCGGAAAUGGCAUUGGAAACUACCCUGCUAGAGGGUCGAGGGGGGACUGGAAUACUUGGUGUAGCAGUGAAAUGCGUAGAUAUCAAGUGGAACACCAGUGGCGAAGGCGAGUCCCUGGACGACUCCUGACACUGAGGCACGAAAGCUAGGGGAGCAAACAGGAUUAGGUACCCUGGUAGUCCUAGCCGUAAACGGUGCACGUUUGCUGUAAAAGGAAUCGACCCCUUUUGUGGCGUAGCCAACGCGUUAAACGUGCCGCCUGGGAAGUACGGUCGCAAGAUUA
rnacentral:rRNA from 1 species